GCCUGGGUGGCUCAGUCGGUGGGGCGCCUGACUUUGGCUCAGGUCAUUCAUGAUCUCACAGCUUGUGAGUUCGAGCCCCACCUCGGGCU
rnacentral:tRNA from 1 species